rnacentral:rRNA from 1 species
UACGGAGGGUGCAAGCGUUGUCCGGAAUCACUGGGCGUAAAGGGCGCGUGGGCGGCCCGGUAAGUAGGGGGUGAAAUCCUGCGGCUUAACCGCAGGGCUGCCUUCUAAACUGUCGGGCUCGAGCACGGUAGAGGCAGAUGGAAUUCCCGGUGUAGCGGUGGAAUGCGUAGAGAUCGGGAAGAACAUCAGUGGCGAAGGCGGCCUGCUGGGCCGUUGCUGACGCUGAGGCGCGACAGCGUGGGGAGCAAACAGG